CAGUGUGUUGAUUGAAACAGAAAGAAAAAGAGAAUGAUAAUAAAAGUUCAAUAACAGAAAUUCAAUAUCUGAAAUCUCAACCAAAAUUAGAAACUAACAACUGGAAUCGAAGUGUGUUGAUUGAACAUUUUCAUCUAUAAAAUAAAAAAAAAUAGACAAAGAAGAAGAGAAAGAUAAUAAAAGUUCAAUACCAGUGUGUUGAUUGAACAUAUC